GAUGAACGCUGGCGGCGUGCCUAAUACAUGCAAGUCGAGCGAACGGACGAGAAGCUUGCUUCUCUGAUGUUAGCGGCGGACGGGUGAGUAACACGUGGAUAACCUACCUAUAAGACUGGGAUAACUUCGGGAAACCGGAGCUAAUACCGGAUAAUAUUUUGAACCGCAUGGUUCAAAAGUGAAAGACGGUCUUGCUGUCACUUAUAGAUGGAUCCGCGCUGCAUUAGCUAGUUGGUAAGGUAACGGCUUACCAAGGCAACGAUGCAUAGCCGACCUGAGAGGGGGGGGGGCACCAGGGGAAUGAGCAACGGGACAAGCCUCCGAGGGGAGGGAAAAGAAGGGAUUCUCCCGAAAGGGGAGAAGGCCGGACGGCGAAGGGCGGGGGGAGGAAUAAAGGUCUUGGGAUGGUAAAACUUUUUGAUGGGGAAAAAAAAAAGGGGAAAGUACAUGUACACUUCUGGAGGGUCAAAAAUAAAAAGCCCAGGCAAAACUCGGGC
rnacentral:rRNA from 1 species